rnacentral:lncRNA from 1 species
AGGGCUAGUCCUAAACAUGCAAAGAUAAGAGAAGAGAUAAAACCCUUGGAGUUCCUUUUCUUGAGAUCAUAAAAAUGAUUCAAGAUGCUCCUUUCCUUUGGACUUAGCAAUUAACUCAAACAAUCAAACAAAUAUUAUAUUCAAGCUCCUAGGAUCUCCAUUUGGCUUGUCUCUCUUAACUUUGCUACUCAUGACAAUGGUCC